rnacentral:rRNA from 1 species
CCUACGGGAGGCAGCAGUGAGGAAUAUUGGUCAAUGGACGAGAGUCUGAACCAGCCAAGUAGCGUGAAGGAUGACUGCCCUAUGGGUUGUAAACUUCUUUUAUAUGGGAAUAAAAUGUUCCACGUGUGGGAUUUUGUAUGUACCAUAUGAAUAAGGAUCGGCUAACUCCGUGCCAGCAGCCGCGGUAAUACGGAGGAUCCGAGCGUUAUCCGGAUUUAUUGGGUUUAAAGGGAGCGUCGGUGGAUUGUUAAGUCAGUUGUGAAAGUUUGAGGCUCAACCGUAAAAUUGCAGUUGAAACUGGCAGUCUUGAGUACAGUAGAGGUGGGCGGAAUUCGUGGUGUAGCGGUGAAAUGCUUAGAUAUCACGAAGAACUCCGAUUGCGAAGGCAGUUCACUGGACUGUAACUGACACUGAGGCUCGAAAGUGUGGGUAUCAAACAGGAUUAGAUACCCCUGUAGUC